GGGCCCGCACAAGCAGCGGAGCGUGUGGUUUAAUUCGAUGUUACACGAAGAACCUUACCAGGGUUUGACAUGCAAGUGGUAGGAAACCGAAAGGUGACCGACCCUUCGGGGAGCUUGCACAGGUGCUGCAUGGCUGUCGUCAGCUCGUGUCGUGAGAUGUUCGGUUAAGUCCGCUAACGAGCGCAACCCUCGCUGUGUGUUAUAUGUGUCACACGGGACUGCCGGUCUUAAGCCGGAGGAAGGUGGGGAUGAUGUCAAGUCAGCAUGGCCUUUAUAUCCUGGGCUACACACACGCUACAAUGGCCAACACAAUAGGUUGCUAAGCCGCGAGGUGGCGCCAAUCCAUAAAGUUGGUCUCAGUUCAGAUUGUAGGCUGCAACCCGCCUGCAUGAAGAUGGAGUUGCUAGUAACCGCAGGUCAGCUAUACUGCGGUGAAUACGUUCCCGGGGCUU
rnacentral:rRNA from 1 species